UCGGGCGUGGUGCAUGGUGCACGGCGGCUGCAUUUACAACCCCUCAUAGAAGACAUUAUGCGCUGGAGACCGGGGUUCGACUCCCUGCGCCCGAC